CUCUGGUAUUGAUUGGUGCUUGCAUCAUGAUUUACAUUUGAGUGAGUGGCGAACUGGUGAGUAACACGUGGGAAACCUGCCCAGAAGCGGGGGAUAACACCUGGAAACAGAUGCUAAUACCGCAUAACAACUUGGACCGCAUGGUCCGAGCUUGAAAGAUGGCUUCGGCUAUCACUUUUGGAUGGUCCCGCGGCGUAUUAGCUAGAUGGUGGGGUAACGGCUCACCAUGGCAAUGAUACGUAGCCGACCUGAGAGGGUAAUCGGCCACAUUGGGACUGAGACACGGCCCAAACUCCUACGGGAGGCAGCAGUAGGGAAUCUUCCACAAUGGACGAAAGUCUGAUGGAGCAACGCCGCGUGAGUGAAGAAGGGUUUCGGCUCGUAAAACUCUGUUGUUAAAGAAGAACAUAUCUGAGAGUAACUGUUCAGGUAUUGACGGUAUUUAACCAGAAAGCCACGGCUAACUACGUGCCAGCAGCCGCGGUAAUACGUAGGUGGCAAGCGUUGUCCGGAUUUAUUGGGCGUAAAGCGAGCGCAGGCGGUUUUUUAAGUCUGAUGUGAAAGCCUUCGGCUCAACCGAAGAAGUGCAUCGGAAACUGGGAAACUUGAGUGCAGAAGAGGACAGUGGAACUCCAUGUGUAGCGGUGAAAUGCGUAGAUAUAUGGAAGAACACCAGUGGCGAAGGCGGCUGUCUGGUCUGUAACUGACGCUGAGGCUCGAAAGUAUGGGUAGCAAACAGGAUUAGAUACCCUGGUAGUCCAUACCGUAAACGAUGAAUGCUAAGUGUUGGAGGGUUUCCGCCCUUCAGUGCUGCAGCUAACGCAUUAAGCAUUCCGCCUGGGGAGUACGGCCGCAAGGCUGAAACUCAAAGGAAUUGACGGGGGCCCGCACAAGCGGUGGAGCAUGUGGUUUAAUUCGAAGCUACGCGAAGAACCUUACCAGGUCUUGACAUACUAUGCAAAUCUAAGAGAUUAGACGUUCCCUUCGGGGACAUGGAUACAGGUGGUGCAUGGUUGUCGUCAGCUCGUGUCGUGAGAUGUUGGGUUAAGUCCCGCAACGAGCGCAACCCUUAUUAUCAGUUGCCAGCAUUAAGUUGGGCACUCUGGUGAGACUGCCGGUGACAAACCGGAGGAAGGUGGGGAUGACGUCAAAUCAUCAUGCCCCUUAUGACCUGGGCUACACACGUGCUACAAUGGAUGGUACAACGAGUUGCGAACUCGCGAGAGUAAGCUAAUCUCUUAAAGCCAUUCUCAGUUCGGAUUGUAGGCUGCAACUCGCCUACAUGAAGUCGGAAUCGCUAGUAAUCGCGGAUCAGCAUGCCGCGGUGAAUACGUUCCCGGGCCUUGUACACACCGCCCGUCACACCAUGAGAGUUUGUAACACCCAAAGUCGGUGGGGUAACCUUUA
rnacentral:rRNA from 1 species